rnacentral:misc_RNA from 1 species
CUAGUUUCCUGUCAACAACCGAAACAGCAGAAACAACGGCGGGGUUCAGGUUCAUUGGCGCUAUUUUCUACAAUUUUUCCUAUUUUUUGCUUAGUUUCCUUUGAUAUUUUUGGCUCAGUUAUUUUCAGGAAUAAGUGGAAUUAGGACUUGUUGCUACCAUUUUAAGGAAUUCUUUUAGCGAUCAGUUUUGGUGGCAGUGAUGGUCCAAAGGCUCGCUCAGAAAUCGGCGUUAGACCUGUUGUGUGAGGUUGCGCUGGCGCCUGGAGACGCAAUAGUCUCCGAACUUUUGGCCAAUGACCUCAGGAUUGAAAAGGAAAAGGCGGCCAAGCGUUCCGGUAAUGGCGUACUGGACCUGGACGAGAUUCUCCAGCUCACGCCCAAACAGUUAGUGAAACACUUCACCCACUUUGAGUCCAACGAGCUGAAGCGGACGUUCAAGCACACGUGUCGUCUGGUGCCGUCCGAGUGCCAGUACGAGACCACCAGCUUCGGCAGCGAGGACAAGUCGCUGCGUGAGAUCAAACGGCAUCUGCAGGAGCACCUGGAACAACUCAAGACAGAGAGCACGGGCCGUAUAAUAUUCACGGCUGAAACUACUGUGCCUAUACCACGGAGGGUUAUCGAGUCGCGCCAAGGCAAAAAAUCACCGGUCGAGGCCUCUCGUGAAAAGCGGUCUUACAUUGCUCACGAGCUUGUUCCCCAAGCACCUGAAGCCCCCGACAAUCAUGCUGCUAGCCCAGAACGGGCAUAUGCUCAACGAUCGUCGCCGUCGGAGAGGCCGUCGAAACGAACUCCGACAAGGCCCAAGAAGCGCCCGGUGGAGUCGCCGCCGCCGGCACUGGUCAGUCCUCCGGAGCGGUCCCAGUCCCGCCGGAGACGCACCAUCGAACCGCCGCCGCCGCCGGCGGCGGUCCAGCCUCCGGCCGUGUCCCCGGCGCCUCCUCCUCCGGCGCCGCCGUCUCCGCCGCGAGAGCAGCUCCGCGAGCACGACUACGCGCGGGACUCCGCACUGGAGUCCUCCGCUGGCCCCUCGGCGGACUCUGCGCCGACACCGCCGGAGCCGUCCGUCAACCCAGCUGAGAGCGAGGCGCCCACGGGUGCUGGCACAGCCAGUCAGAAUCACUCGGCGGUCCCGUUUGAGUCUGACCUAGCUCUGCUUGGUCUCAUGGAGCGGGAAGUGAUUGGACCGGGCUCCGACGACGGCCUCGGCGGCGGUGACAGUGCCGAGAGCAGCGACGGCGUGCCGCUGGUGGGCGCCGAACAGGUGAUCCGCGGCGGCGUGAUGCGCUCCGCGGACCUGCCGGUCAUCAUGGAGGGCGGCUCGGCGACCGUCAGCGGCCUGCGCCGCUACACCCGCGUGGUGGAGCGCGACGAGUAUAAGCAGCACCGGAAGCCCAAGGGGCUGGCCAAGUUCAUCAGCCAGUCGGAGGAGGACAAGGAGAAGGCGCGACAGGCGCUGAUCGAGAUGCGCCUCCGGCCCAGCAUGUGCAACAACUACGUGAACUACGUGUGCCGCGUGUGCUUCCCGCCGCAGCGCUUCACGGCCCUGUCCUCGCUACAGUCGCACUACAAAUGCCACCUAGGCAUCAAGGACUUCUCCUGCAAGCUGUGCCACAAGUCUUUCACUCGAAAGACGUCGCUCGACUGCCACAUGCUGAUCCACGAGCACAAGACGCGGUUCCGCUGCAGCACUUGUGGCCACGAGUUCCGACAAAAGUCGCACUACACCGAGCACCUGCGUCGACACACCGGCGAGACGCCCUACAUGUGCUCCGUCUGCGGCCGGGGUUUCAAGGCGAAGAACUCGUACCGUCGCCACCUGGAGUCGAAGCACGGCCAGCGUCUGACCAACAGCGGCAACAUCGUCAUCCUGUCCGAUGACGAGCACCGCCGGCUGCUGGAGCGCUCCCACCAGGAGAACCGAUCCAGGAGGCCGAGGGCCCGGCCUCGUUCGGACGACUCUCAAGCGCCGCCCAGUCCGAGCAAGAUGGGCUUCUCGUACGUGGACGUCGUGGUGCGUCAGUCGACGGGCCGUGUGGAGUACAUGUCUAACGUGGAGAGCAUCGUGCCGCCGCCGGGCCGUGACGUGCUGGAGCAGGUGGUGGACGCCACGGUGGCUGACGGACCGGGGGAGAAGCCGACGCUGGCAGAGCAGCUUCUGGACCCGCUGCCGCCGCUGGAGAUCCUGCCGCCGCUGCAGGACUGGGAGAGAGAGCUCACCCCCCUGGAUAAGUUCACCCCUGGCGCACCCUCGGUCGCCAAUGAUCGGGUGCAAAGGCCGCGAAUCAAUCUGACCAGCUCUCUUGGCAAGUACAACGUGUUCUACUCGUCGGGCAAUGUGUCCAACAAUGUGCGUGUCGUCCAAAAGUGAGUGGGCGACAGCGCCGUGCGGGGUGGGAGGCACCCCCACCUAGGAAGCGUCCAUGUCUGAUAGACUACAUCAGCUGCGCGUGGUACUGUCGGGGGCAAAGACAAUCCCCGUCGAGAAAGCUGAGUUGAAGUUGGAGACGAAACGGGAAACGUGUACAUUUUGAGGGUCGUAGAGCUUGAUGGAGAGAUUAGACGAGUAUCAAAUCAUGUAGCCAGUAUGCGGUGAUUUCGCGUAGCCAUUGUGUGUGAGAGUAUCGUGUUCUUCAUGAAGAGUCUUGCAGUUCUCUUUUGAUAAUCAUUCGUUUUAGGCGUUCUGGCUCGCCUGCGUCGACCACAAAGCCACCCUUCAGACCCCUCGAAUCGACGCGCUGGUUGAUGCUUCAUAGGCCACUGAAUUUUUGGCCAAGAUGCGUUAUAUCGCAAUGUGUGCCAAAUUACUGGAGUGUUGGGCCGGUGGCGCUUUUCAGGCUGGCUGGCCAUAUGAUGCACAUGGGCAUGAUGCAGACUCCAUCUGCCAUUGUUAGGUGUGUUGCCGAUUCAUUCACUGAUUCGUUCAUCAAUUCAUUCAUUCACUUAUUUAUGCUCACCUUCAUUCAUUCAUUCGCUUCAAUUCGCUCUAUAUUAUUUCUGCAGAUGUCAUCGUCUUAUUUUAUGCAAAGAGCAAUGGAGGUCUUAUUAGUUUUUCUCCGUCCUAGGAGACCUUUUAAUUUUCAAAUGUCUCUAUAAUUGUCUCGCGACCUUAAUUUUUUGGCUAAUGACCUUUGCCGUCGAUUGUAGGUCAGACGUCAAAAAUAUUUUCAUUGCACAAGCAUGAAUGCUCGUUUUUAUUUCAAUAUAUUGUGAAAAUGAAGAAGGCGUCUCAUGUUGCAGUUCGCAACAUUUCAUGAAAAUAUUUUUAUGUCGUUACGGUUACGUAAAUGUAGAUUUACACUUCGAAUCGUUACAAUUCCUAUUAUUCUGAGUAACGUAACAUCGACUUAUCGUUCCUCACGUCACGUUGUAAUCGCAGCAUAGCAUUAAUUAAAGUAAACGAUGACUUUAAAUAUUGCUUAAACUUGUUGCUGAACAACCAUGAGUCGUACACCGGUUCCCACUCCGAGAAGAGGAGACAGAGUGAGACGCGCUCCAGUUCGUUAUGGUUUCGAAGACGACGAACGGGAGAGCAUCAAUGAAGCCGGGGCCAUGAGUGUUUGCUCAUCAGUCUCGAUGUCGUCGAAAGCUUCAUCACGCAAGCCACGCACUGUCUUGUGACGCUCGGUCCGUGAACACGUACCACCACCGUCUUCAUCAGCAUAACUUUACGAUCGGCGUUCACCGUGCCCACUACCGCUGUCGUCUGCGGCUUGGUGUGUAGCAGAGCGUGAUGUUUUUCUUUGCAGCCGUCGACGCCACAUGGCAGUUGUCUAUGACACUGCUGCGUGCGAUGUGACGUACUCAAACACCGCACACAGACGCUGUUUGACUCGGUCCACUUCCAUCUCCGGUCACCGGUCAGCUCUUGGAAAGCUUUGCAGCGCGAAAUCCAAUGGGGCUGCUUACAAAAGUAGCACGAGACCUGCACUCGACUCCGUGUUCCUUGCCCACUGGGACUGGUUGCGUCUGUCGCGGCCACACGACCCACUUCAGCAGCGCUGUCCAUCGCGUAACUCUGCCUUACUUUUCUGGGUAGUGGGCGUGGCUUUGCCGAGCUCAGCGCGAACGGCGCUGAAUUGCCGGUCUUGAGCGUGCUCCUCCAGAAAGUCACAGAAGGUGCGGCAGGUGACGUCACCGUGUUCGUCCGCAUGCUGUCUUCCGUAUGAGCCCCAUGCAUGCUGACUGUCCAGAGGCAGCUUCUCUACGAGCAGGCUGAUCGUUCGAAAGUUGUUCAUUUCGUUUUCGCUUCCCAUCGAUUCGAGGACUGCUAUCGCGUUGUAUACCUCUGUGCUGAAGCGAGCGAGUUCUUCGACAUCCAUGACACUCAUUUUUGAUCGUUCUAGGAGUUUUCUCGUUACAGCUUGAGUUACGCGCAGUUUGUUUCCGAAUCUGGAAUCUAAGACGUGUAGAAUGCGCGUCAGAGAGACUCCAGCCAGGAGGGCACCGUGCACGGCAUUAAAUGCCUCCCCUUUCAGCCUCUCUUUGAGGUGAGACACGAUCUUGGCUUCGGAAAAUAGGCCGCUUUCCAGUGCCUCGUUGACUUGCCGUUUGAACAGUGGGUAGUGUGCCACAUCACCGUCAAAACACAGUACAUCUAACUUAGGAGCCUCAGUAAUCGUGAUAUUCACAGGCUUGUUGGCUUGUUGGCUCUGACACUAAUCGAGAGUGAUUUGGCAGAAGAACUGGGACUUGACACGAAGCCGGACAAGAUGAGAAUUAGGACGAUGACCGGCGUCACAGAGCACGAAGUUGGAAAACUCGACCUUCUCGUCAGCAGCGUCGAAACAGGAAACGAGUUUGAGCUGAAGGAUGCCGUAGCCAUCAACAAGCUGGAACUGAGCAGAAGCCCAGUGACUAUGACGGAACAUCAAGGAAUCAAGACGCACACGUAAGGAUCAUGGCUCGGACUGUAAUGCCGGGCGUGUACAAAACGUCUGUAAUAUGAUACAAUAUAAUAUGAUUUGCGGCCAUCAAAAA